rnacentral:lncRNA from 1 species
GCGAGGGGGGUUUUGCAAGGCCGGUAGUUUGAGGUACACUUCAGGUACACUUCAACGUUACCUCCCUUUUCAGUUCUGCAUGUGGAAACGGCUCAUGGUCAGAGAUGGGGAGCCAUUACAGAGAUGCAGCACUUAAAACUGAGAAAUGAAAUUACUGCCAAGAUAUCUUGCCAUUGCGAUAAACAGAUCAACUCAGCAGUCACUCAGUGAGCAUUGGUUGGAGCAGUGAGGAACCCAUCAAAAAAUGAACCAUGGAUUCUGCUGCCAUUUGGAAGUACUGCCUCAGAACUCUGUGAACAUUUGUGAUGGAUCAACAGGCAUCUCAGGCUGUUGCACGUCAGCCGCAUCUGUGGAAGUCUGGAGCACGCUGUCAGGAGGACAGCAAUGAAUGUACAGCUGUACCACUUUAAUAUCAGAUGGGGCCGGCAGGUACGCUCAUGACGGAGAGAUGUGCUGCAGAAUUCCACCAAUUGUUUCAGGAAUGCACAUGCUAUUCUGUUACGCAACGAAAACCCAAGGAAGGCAAGGAUGCAUUACGUCUGAAUCAGAGUUAAGUGCAGAACGAACGGGUCCUGUUCAAAACAUCCCGUUACUGUGGUUUAUACAAAGAAUCUUCAAAUCCUGUUGCACCAGUGCAACAACUGCUGUUGCUUCCCCCUGCUCCAGGACUGAGUUUGCUGAUGGAGUUGCACUGUGCUAGAAAGCCACCCCACCCUCCAGAGAAGUAUUAGUUCCGUGAAGUACUUGUUCCAGCAUUCACAAAACCUAACAGCAGUCUAUCUUCUGCACCCUUUAAGUUAAGCACUGAAAAGGGUGACAGAAUGUGUAGUAGGCAUCAGAACAACAGAAAUUUAACUCCACAGAGGCUCAAAUUUAGUGAAUUCAGUAAUUUAUUCCAUCCUCCUUUGUGUGCACCUGCCAUAAAUUGGGUAUCUGUAUACACCAUUCCAUUAUCUUCAACCCCCCUGCAAAUACAUAGUUAUGACAGACACUCAGAAUGGUCAGACUGCUGUUGUACAGCCCUUCUAAUCAGAGCGAGGUGGUGCACUGUGAGAGACUGAUGGGAGCUCCAGGGCAGGUCUUCCAGCUGAAUGGGACUUUGCCCCAUGUUAAUUGCAUUCCUGCUUUUGCAGUUUUAUUUGCAGGACCUGCUGGUUUUUUGGUGUUUUUUUUUUUAAUACAAUGAGGAAGUUCAGUAUAUCAGUACAUGUACUACUUUCAACCUUCCCACCAAAAAAACCCCCCAAAAACCAACCAAAACCAAACGUGGUCAGGGAGAUGGAAUUGAGUACUUAAUUCUCUUAAAAAUUUCUAAGAAUAACAUGAAAAUAUUUCACUCACUUCUAAGGAAUUACCUUGACUUACCUUCAUUGAAAACAUAACUCUGAAUGAGCUUUCGUAUCUGUGUGCUAUACCAGAGACCCAGCUUGGUUCAUUAACAGUUAGGGCGGUUCUACUACUGGAAAACUCUCACUCCUGCUAGAGAUGAAACAUCCACCGUAUGCCGGAUUUAAUAUCAUUCUCUUCUUAAUUGUGAUGGUUGUAGGGAUUACAAGCAGCCUAUGUUAGUGACAAAAUAGAGGAAGCACAAGAGACUUUGUUCCAGCCAAAUGGGCCACUUAAGAAACAAAACCAUAAUUUAUUACUUUUGUAUGGGCUAGAGCUUGAGAAAGAAAAGAAAGAAAUCCUCUUAAAAUCCCCUUCGCAUGACAGCUGACUGAGCCCAGACUUUGUACAGACAGACCAUCUUUAGGAGAGUUCAGAAGCAAUGUACUCCGCCCAGUCACUGUCUUUAGAGGUAGUGCUUAAGGUGACCUGUAACAGAGGCGUAUCCUUUUUUGCUUCUUUAUGCUGUUUGUAGAAGGAGAAACUGAGUGACUAGGGGAUUCCUAUUUCUGACACUAAUUUACGUGGUGGAGGAAAGUCUUUUGUCUGAAUGUGCUUCAGGUUUUUCAGUGGUAACUUACCAUCUUCUGGAGUGUGCUUUGCAGUCUGCAGGUGGAAAUGAAUGUAAGGAAAGGCCAAAAUGUGUGCGGGCACGGCAGCAGGAAAGAGCAUUACUUAUUUAUCUAAAAACACUAGAUACCUGCUUUUUUGAUCCAAAGUUUCUUGAAAAAUAUGAAAAUAUGAAAAUAGAAGAUUUCUUCUAGUUCUUUUCACACCACAGGUCUUGCCUCUUACCACAGAACUUUUUCCUGUCUUUUAAUGCAACUCAACUAAGCAAAUACUGAUUAAAAGGUUUGUUUCACACACGUGUGUACUGACUCCGCUUCUGCAUAGUUCUGUUUCUUGUUUUUGUUUGUUUGUUUUCUUUGCUUUUUUUCUAAAUCUCCCACCUGCACUGAAUUCUUCAUCCCUUUCUGGAGCCUGACCAUAAAAAAAACAAACAAAAAAAAAAAGGCAGGGGGGAAGGCUGCAUUGCCACGUGAGGAAAAAAGAACCAAAACCUUCAAAAGGGGAGAAGGAGAAGCUCUCACAACUUCUUCAUACAUCCUAAAGAAGCAAAAGAGGAAAUAAAUGUUCCUUCUUUACAGGUUGCCUUUAAGAUUCCUGACUCUAGAGUGCACACUACACUGGGCAUUUCUUGCAUCUGCUUAGAUGGAGAUGGACAUCCUGCACACCAGCUGCAGUGACUUUUGGAGGGAGGCUGAGGAAUGACGGUUUUGGGUAAUGGAUCUCAGCUCCUGGGUGAUGGAAACAGAAAUGCUGGUGUCGACAGCCUGCCCGACGCUGGGCAUGGGAAAGGCCUACAAUCAGGUCACAGCUCCAGUGGCUACUAACCUCCCCCUCAUCCUGUAGCACAGAUGAACAGCAUGACUCCAAUGAGAAAGCAGGUUGGUUUAGCCAGUGAAAGCAAAAUUUAAGAAAUCAAACAGUACAUAAAAAACAAAGGAGGCAGAGUUUGUUGGAAAUGGUAUCUUGGAAAUCAGUGCAUCAGCACUGGUUAGAUUGCCUCAGCACCUAUGAACCAAUGCAGGGAGAUCACUGCACAGAUAUGUACAAUCCUGCUCUCAAAAGAGCCAAUAUCUUCUUAGAAUUGCCAUCUUUCCACUGCCUGCUGCUCAUGCACCUUCCAGACUGACAGUUCAUAAAAUCCCUGAUUUCAGCAAUGAGCUUUCACUUCUGUACAGCAACAAAAUAUGUCCCUAGUGCAACUGCUUCUACUCAAGUGUGUCCCAGAGCUGGGAGGAAAGCAGUUUCAAAAUCAGCUUGCCACCUUUCCUCCUUCUUCCCCCUCCGCUUAAAAUUGUAUUUUUCAGCUUCUGCAAGUCUCUAUGGCUUGUGUGCCAUGUGGUGCGGUUAAGAAACUGCAGAAGGAAGAACCAUCCACUGCACAGAAAGUUAAAAAAACGUAACGGAAAGGUGUAAAAGGAAAUUUGAAAGGAAAGCAGCAGCCUCCCUUGCUGGCCCUAUUGCGUAUGCGGGCUCCAGCCAAGCCUGUGGCAGUAGAAGUCAGCUUGCUGUUCUCCGAGUCCUCAGCUCUCUGCGCUCUGGUCACACCUGGAACGAUGACGCAAGCUGCUUACCAGCAGUUGUUCCUACUGCUCACUGAUGCCGUGCUCCCAUGCUACCCUGGCCUGCUCUUCCUUUCCACCACUCACUGGCUGGGACACUUUACGAUGCAACUGGCGGUGUUUGUCAUCAUCUUCAAUUAUCAUUCCCUCCUCGUUCUCUAUGUUUGGCAGCCGGGAGUGGUAAGGUUUGGGGGGCAGAGCAGGAGGGUCCAGGGUGUCCUGAGGAAUGACUCCUGAUGGAGCUGAGUGGCUUCGGCAUGGCUGGGAUUUGAGCGACUCAAGGACAUCAGGCUCAGAGAGACUGUACCUGACAGGGAGGUAGGGUGUCUCUAGAUCUUCGUCAGUGUUCCAGGCCUGGCUGGGGACAGAAUCCAUGGUGUCUGUGCGAGGAGGUGGUUCAGAGGAAUGUCCAAAAUUACUCUCGCUCAAGGAGGAGACGCCGCUGCUUGCGCUGCCGGACAAAGUGGAGUUACUUCCAUCUAGACCAGACUGCGGACUGGUGGGUGAUGCAGGGAUGGGAUGAAGAGGGGACUGUUUGGAGAAAAAAAGAAAUCGCAUUAAAAUCAAUGAGGCAACACCGCAGCUCGUUAACAUUUCAGCUUUUGACAGUGAUGUUAAUAACGGUGCAGUUCUGGCUGUGUUCAAAAUGUCAGCUAUUGACAGUUUGUAUAUAUAUUCCCCC